rnacentral:misc_RNA from 1 species
AAGCAGUCUCUGGUUCAGGAAAACAAUGGCAUUCGAGAUGCCAUACGAUCAAAUAAGGGAACUCCAGAUCUCACUUCGCAAGGAAGCCGCUGUCGACUCUUACAAACCGGAAGACCCUCAACUUCCCGAUUUACCCUCUUUCCAACGCGUAAUUUCCGAGCUUGACCCUUCUCCUCCAUACCUUCGAUGUAAGCAAUGCAAAGGCAGGCUUCUCAGAGGCAUUAAUUCCGUGAUUUGCGUUUUCUGUGGUAGACAGCAGAACAAGGAUGUCGCUCCUGACCCAAUCAAGUUCACUUCUACUUUUGGUUGCCGUUGGUUUCUUCAGUCUCUCGACUUGGAUGGAUCCGAGCUUGUGGCACCAUCAGUCGAAUCAAAUGCAUCUAGCAGAGGACAAAAUACACCAGAUAUUGAGUUUCCCUUAUUAGAUCUUUUAGAUUUAGAAAUAAGAUGGCCUUCUGAACCUGAAAAAUUUGAGAGUAGUGUUUCUGAAAAGGCACCAGCUCAGUGGUUGGGUACUCUGAGUUUGGCUGGAGUUGAUCUGGACAACUUUUUUACUGAAGCUAAAGUAGACGCUGUUUCUGUAUCUACUGAGGAACAGUUUGCACUGAAAAAUCAUGAGGAUGCUACUGGAAGUAAUGCGUUUGGAGGUCAUGGAAAUCUUAGCUUGUUUGAGAAUGUCAAGCCUUCUGAGGAAGUUCCUGCAAGGUCUAAGGAAGAUGAAAGUGGUGACUCAUUUUCUGGUUGGGAGGCUGAUUUUCAAUCGGCUAGUUCUGGAACUCAACAACAGGAAUUGAAAUUAUCUGAUCCUUUUGUGGGAUCUGCUGGUACUGGAAUUCAACACCAGGAAUCCAAAUUAUCUGAUCCUUCUGUGGGAUCCUCUUCAGUUGAUCUUUCUUCCAAGAUGGAUGAUGUUUUUGGACCUGGAAAAGAGUUAGUUGAUGAUAAAACAAAAGAAAAUAUAACUUCUGCUUCCAAUAUGAAAGAUUGGUUUGAAGAUGAUCUAUGGAGCAAGUCCAGUACUGAGGUAGCUGUCCAGGAAGAUCAGUUUGAAGUUCCGGAAAAUGCUAAGGAUAACAGAACAGCACGGAGCACAGAUAAUUCUUCUUCUAUGAAUAUUGAUUGGAUUAAAGACAAUCAGUGGCAAACCACCGCCAGUAGUAACAUAGCUGCUGAUAAUAGAACCGUCAAUGAAGAUGAUGAUUAUUCAUUUGAUGCUUGGAAUGAUUUUACAAGCUCAACUAGUGUAAAAGUUCCUUCUAUUAAUUCUUUGAAACAAGAUGUUAAUUGCACAAUGCCUUCUGUUGAGCAGGAAUCAGAAAGCUUGUUCAGUGGAACUAGUAACUCAAAGGAUGUUGAUUUUGGUAGCUUUUCACAGCAGGAUUGUUUUCCAGAAACUUUAAUCAAUCACAAUGGUUCUGCAGAAGCAGAUACUAUGGUGUCAGAAAGUUCCGUUUCAGAUAGGUAUGUAUGCAUAGGCUGCUAUGCUUAGUCUAAACUAACUCUUGAUAAAUCAUGCUCUGGCUUCCUAAGUAUGAGCUGCUUGCAUUGUUUGUCUGCUGUCCCCUCAAAAUUUCAUGCUGAGGCUAUUAGAUACUGUUUUUAUGUGUUGCUUCUCUUUUAUUCUAUAUAUUUAAUUGUUUAUUAAUCUUUGUGGGCAGCUAAUGACUAAAAAUUUGGUCCAGCAUCAUUUAUAGUCUUCUUCUUUUUUUUUAUUUUCCCUUUAUUUAAAUCAAUCAUAUACAUCUGCUUCAAUGUUUGUGUCAAUUAUAUCCAGCAUAGAGGUGUGCGUCAG